UUGUAGACAGUUAGCAGAGGCUGUUAGCUGUCACGUGCCUGGCAUAUGAAAUUCUAUACAUAACGGACAUUUUCUAAUGUCGAUUAGUAUGAAGAUGUUUUCGUAAUUACGAAAUAAUCUAUUGGCCACGAAAAGUACAUGUGAACACGUAAUCACGAUUUAAUUUUCUCUCUCUCUCUCUCGCAACGGUGAUUAACUUGUAAUCACGAAAAUAAUAAACUAUCGCGUUAUUUUCUUCUUCUUUAGGAUUUCCAUACAAUCAUCAAUGUUGCGAAAGCUGAACAUUAAUCUGGUACAAUAUACGGCGUUUAAUAUAACCAUUUUCUUAACAUAUGAUGGACAUGUAGAAAUCAAGUACACGUACAACUUUAAUGUUUUACUCCACAAACGAUAGAACAAAGACAAGCACAAUAUACUGUACAGGUGUGAAUAUAAUGUUGAUAGAACGAAGACAAACACAAUAUUGUCCAUGUGUAUAUAAUAUAUAUGCUGAUAGAAGUUGGGGCGGGCAUUGUUAAAUAAUUUUCAACGAAAAAAAGGCAUUGUCCGACAGCAUCAACUUUUGUUGUAGAACCUUUAAUUAUUAAUAAACCUAUCAGAAAUCAAUUGAUUUUCGUGAAAACUAAUCCGCAACACUUGCGAUCGGGGAAAUCCAGGUAAGUGCACGCGCACCUGUUGAUAUUUAAUUUCACGUCAACACCGAUCAGCCAUUAUUAGCGGGGAUAUUGGUGAGGCAGGCCAUGUGCUACAAAGUGAAAUGUAAGAAAUGUCAGCGAUUCACCUGGACAGGGUGCGGGCGUCAUAUUGAGCUGGUUUUAGAAGAUGUACCUGUUGAAGAAAGAUGUCAUUGUAAAAAGUCCGGGAAAUGUUCAAUAUUAUAGCAUCACUUUUCAUGGAGAUGAAACGGAGAAGAAAAGCGGAGCCAUUUCUACUUCAUGAAUACCUAUACAUCCCAUAUAUCUGCGGUUUGUGCCAAACAAUUAUUCACAUGAGCAAAUAUUUAUUUGCAGUCUUGAAUUUGAUUCACCCAAAUUCUUCAUAAUGUACAUGUAUAAUUCAUCAAUUUGUUUUGCAUUUAGAUUUCACAAAAAUGUAUGCCUUUUAGCUCUAGCCAAUUCAAAUUAUUUUUUGUGAAGAUACAUUUUUAUAUAAUAUUCAAACUUUGGUUAGAAGAAAAAAGUUACGUUAUUUUCCAUUGUAUGACAGCUGAUUACAAUGUUUAAUAUGGAGAUUUCAGUACCUCGAUCAUCAUCUUGUUGUAUAUAAAUGAAUGUAUCCUGCCAGAUUGAAUUGUACCCACACACCCAGUGUAUCAAAGGUGUGUAUUGUUGUAUUUGACCUGAACUUAUUUCGAAGGUUUAAAGUAUAGUAGCUCUGAAUCUAGAUCAAGUCAAUAUUAGUUUUACUGGCCAUACAACAUCCACAAUGUAUUAAAUGCCCCCUGAGCAUUGUGAAAAAUGUGUUAUUUUUCAGCAUUAUUUAUCAAAUUUCUGUAUCGAUGUGAUGUCCUAAAUUGAAACCUUUUUUUAAAUCUCUCCAAAAAUGUGUUUAACUGACGACACUUUUUCGAACUUUACGCAAUGUGUACCAGUGUAACUUAAGUACAUAACUCUCACGACCCCAUCUACAGGUCUAUUGUCAGAGGGAGAACUGCAAGAUUUAAAUUCGGGAGGGUCAGAUUACUUUACGGUAAAUAUAGAGAUAAUUUUACAUCAGGUGUUGGGUACAUUUUUUCCCUCUUUUUUGACAUCAAUAGAAUAACUUAGGAGGCUAUUAUCAAAAGUUAUUUUGAAAGUUGAAUAUGGUAACAAACAAUUUUUACAAAAAAUCCUUAGCAGUUAAUUUUCCAUCUAUCUACUUCUAAUUUCUUGAAUCAUGUGAAAUGAUUAUAUUAGGCACCAUGCCCACUACAGAGUAACAAUCUGCCCUUUUGUUUUUCUCACAUAUUCCUCCACAUAAUUUAUCACCUUGGCAACUACAUGUGUGAACGAGUUUUACAUGUAUAUGUAAUUUAUCCCACGUGAAACUGCUGUAGGGAAUAUCUAUAGGAUGGUUAGGUUAUAUGUAGAACUGAGAAUGAAUUACAUGUAUAAAGGGGGGGGGGGGGGGCACAGAAUUUCUUAAUCAAUGGGGAAGAAUGUUGUUCAGUUUUGGUGCAUGAUGAGUGAAAUGAGAAACACUGUAUGUAUUUGCUACCAUGGUAACUGUGGAAUAUGAAUCUCAUUCAGGUCUCAUAAUAAUGGGUUUUUGUUUUUUUUUUAAGUUGAGAACUUGUUCAUUUAUCAAUGGCAUUUUUUUUUUUUUUUUUUACAAUCUGUAUACAAUUAGAUGUGAACUUGUGAUGUUGAUUUAAAGACAACAUAUCAAGUAUUUUUGUUUGUGUAAUUAAGUUUCAGUGAUGUAAAUGAGUUAUACCAUUAUGUACUUUAUUUUGAAAGCUUGUGUGUGUAUAUUUCAUUACAGUCUGGUGCUAAAUUUUUGUAUUAUAUAGCAUUGUUUGAUUGCGGAGUUGUAUUUAUAUGUUAUAUUAUUCCAAGAGAUUCUUUUCCUUAAUUUCUUGUUUGUGUGCCUUUAUCAAUAAACUAGUCAUACUAUU